GGAGAUUUAGCUCAGCGGCAUAAGCGCCUGCCUUGCAAGCAGGCAGGUGUGAGUUCAAUCCCCA
rnacentral:tRNA from 1 species